rnacentral:rRNA from 1 species
UCUACGGGUGGCAGCAGUGGGGAAUAUUGGGCAAUGGAGGCAACUCUUACCCAGCAAUGCCGCGUGAAUGAAGAAGGUCUUCGGAUUGUAAAGUUCUUUAAUUGGGGACGAAAAAAAUGACGGUACCUGACUAAGAAGCCCCGGCUAACUACGUGCCAGCAGCCGCGGUAAUACGUGGGGGGCGAGCGUUAUCCGGAUUCGCGGGGUGUAAAGUGAGCGUAGACGGCCAUGCAAGCCAGGGGUGAGAGCCCGGGGCCCAACCCCGGGACUGCACUUGGAACUGAAUGGCUGGAGUGCGGGAGGGGCAGGCGGAAUUCCUGGUGGAGCGGUGAAAGGCGUAGAUAUCAGGAGGAACACCGGCGGCGAAGGCGGCCUGCUGGACCGCGACUGACGUUGAGGCUCGAAAGCGUGGGGAGCGAACAGGAUUAGAUACCCCUGUAGUC